UACAGAGGGUGCGAGCGUUAAUCGGAAUUACUGGGCGUAAAGCGCGCGUAGGCGGCUUUUCAAGUCGAUUGUGAAAUCCCCAGGCUCAACCUGGGAACUGCAUCCGAUACUGGAUGGCUUGAAUCCGGGAGAGGGAUGCAGAAUUCCAGGUGUAGCGGUGAAAUGCGUAGAUAUCUGGAGGAAUACCGGUGGCGAAGGCGGCAUCCUGGACCGGCAUUGACGCUGAGGAGCGAAAGCUAGGGGAGCAAACGGG
rnacentral:rRNA from 1 species